rnacentral:lncRNA from 1 species
CGCCAAGCACAGCCACCGAGCUAGCAAGGGCGGCAGGCGCGGUGAGCAAUCUCAGGUGGUGGCGGCGGCGGUGACAGCAGCAGCAGCAGCAGAGACUGCAGCGGCUAGCGCACACCUUCUCCCCAGUGCGCCCGCAACCUUCCUUCACUGCGCUCCGGGAGCCACCAGAGGUCCCUGGUCACCCGGCCCCCGCGUGCGCGGCCGAGCCUCCCGCACAAUAGCAGCCACCUCUACUGUGGUUCCGAGCCCAGGCGUCAGCCAUGGGGAAACCGGCGAGGAAAGGAUGCGACUGGAAGCGUUUCCUGAGGAAUAAUUGGCUGCUGCUCUCCACCGUGGCCUCAGUGGUGCUAGGCCCCUCCCCUUGGCCUUCAUGACUAGAAGACAUUGCCAUCACAAAGGCAGCCCUUCUUCUACGCAAGGAGAGCAAAUGUGGUUGCUGGAGGAGGUACCCAGAAUAUCAAUGACACCUUCUCUCGCUUCUAAUUUAGUACUCUUCUAAUUGGAACUGACAGAAAAUCUAGGUUGAACAGGCUUAAGCCAGAAAGGUAGGGGAGUGAGGCCUAGAAUUUAUGGCUUAGAUAAUGUAAGAGCUCAGAAAUAGUAACUGGUUUCGGGGGAUCAAAGAAUAUGAUCCUGUCCUUCUCUCUCUUUACAUAGAGUCUGUGCACUUUUGUGUUGUUUUCACUCUCAGGUAAGACACGCCCAUUGACGGCAAGGUAGCUGCCAGCACAGCUGAAGGUUUCCAUUUCCCUGCUUCACACCCAGCAGAAAAGAGAACGUUUCUAUCAAUUCCAGCAAGACUUUGGGGCUUUCGCCUGAAUUUCACUCAGUCCUAAUUGGGUCAUAUGACCAUUCCAUAAUAAAUCUUGGAACUAAGGGAACAUGAUUGUCUAAUAGGUCACUCUUUCUUCCCACAUUCUUCCCCCAACUUCUGAACUAGCUCCACCUGUAACAGCUUGAGAGUUGGGAGGUAUGUUAUUAACAGGAGGGACAAUGAAUAUUGAGUGGCGGUUACACCACAUGUUUGCCUUUUCUCAUGCUCCUGAGCUCUUUCCCGAAUGUACUCAGUAUAUACUCAUAGCUAAGUUUUAUUGUAUUCAUAACAGUACAGAAACACUUGAAGUUAUUUAGAUAAUAGCCAUGUAUUUUGAAAAUAAUUAAGUUUAGAUAGAAAUUACUUAAAUCUGAGAGAGGGGAAAGAAGAUUAAGCAAGGACCACAACUGAAUUUUUGCUUUAAACUCUUAAAAAUUCUAAAAAACAAGAAAAAAAAACUUCCCCCAAACCCAAUGUACUGCUAGUAUCAUAUUUAGUGAUGAAAGUCUGAAUACUUUCCCCUUAAAAUCAGGAGUAACACAAGGAUGUCCACUUUUACCACUACUAUUCAGUAUCUCACUGGAAGCCUAAGCCAGUGCAAUACAGCAAGAAAGAGAAACAGACUGGAGAGAAAUAAAACUUAACCUAUGUACAGAUGGCAUGAUGUUCUACAUAGGAAAUCCCAGUGAAUCUACAGAAUAACUCCUAAAACUAGUCAGUGAUUUAGCAAGGGUCCAAGUUACAAGAUUAAUAUUUUAAAAAAGCAUUUGUUAUUUCUAUACGCUAACAAUGCAAAACAAGAAAUGGAUAUGUUGAAAUGUUAUUUACAAUAUCUCCAAAAAGUAAAAGAUUGGGUAUAUAUCUAACAAAAUGUAUGAAUAGGACCUAUAAUUGAAAAUCACAGAACACUGGUGAAAGAAAUUGCACACUUAAGUAAACAAAUGUACCUGUUCAUAGAUAGGAAGAUACAUCAUAAUGAUGAUGUCAGUUCUUCUCAAAUUGGCUUAUAGAUUUGAUGCAAUUCUGGUCAAAAUCCCAGAAGUAUUUUUUGUAGAUAUAUCAGACAAGGUGAUUCUAAACUUUAUGUGGAAAGGCGAAGGAAUAACCUAAAACAGCUUUGAAAAAGAGGAAGAAAGUUUGAAGAAUCAUACUGCUCUAAAGCAAUAAAUAAGACAUUGUAGUAUUGGUGAAGGGAUAGACAUGUAGAUCAAUAAAAUAGAAUAGACGUUCCAAAAACGGACCCACACAAAUAUGCCCAAUUGAUUUUUGACAAAGAUCCAAAAGCUACUCAAAGGAGAAAGAAUAGUCUUUUUAGAAAAUGGUAUUGGAAUAACUGGACAUUCCUGUGCAAAAAAAAGAAGAACCUUUACCUAAACAUCAUGUUUUAUACAAAAUUAACUCAAAAUGGAUCAUAGUUCUUAAAGAAGAGUAAAAUACAGAAUUUUCAGAAUCUUUGUGACCUACAGUUAGGCAAAGAAUUCUUAGACAGUACAACAAAAUGCAAUUCAUAAAAGUAAAAAAUUGAUAAAUUAGACUUUAUUAAAAAAAAUAACCUUUGUCUUCUGUUAAGAGAAUGAACACAACAAAUCAUAAAUUGUAUACCUAAAAUAUAUGCAUUUUUAAAUGCUCAGUUAUAUUUCAAUAAAGUGGGUAGAGGAAAAGAGACCGAACAGUCUCAGUCUAGGAAAAAAAUAAUUGCAGAUCACAUAUCCAACAUAUCUGAGCUUGUAUCCAGAACAUAUAAAGAACUUUCAAAUUUUCAAAGCUCAACAGUAGGAAAACAAAUAAUCCAACUUUAAAAACAGACACUUCACCAAAGAGCCUGUUAAGUAAACAUAUAAAAAGAUGUUCAUCACUAUUAGCCAUUAGGGAAAUGUAAAUUAAAACAAGUGCUGAUGAAGAUGCUGAGCAACUGAACCUCUUAAACAUUGUUGGUGGGAGUGUAAAAUGGUAUGGCCACUCUGAAAAACAGUUUAGCAGUUUCUUACAAGUUAAAUAGAUACUUACCAUAUGACCUAGGAGUCCCCCUCCUAGGUGUAUACCCUAGAAAGAGAAAAACUUAUGUUCACACCAAAACUUGUACACAAAUGUUUAUAGCAGCUCUAUUCAUAAUUACCCCAAACAGGAAGCAACCCAGACAUCCUUCAGUGAAUGAAAAAAUAAUACUGUCCACCUAUAAAAUGUGAUCCAUUCAGCAAGAAAAAGGAACGUAUUAUUGGUAUGCACAAAACUUCAAUGAAUCUCAAAAGUGUUUUUUGGAUUUUUUUCCCCAGGCUAGGGGUCUAAUCGGAGCUGCAGCCGCUGGC